rnacentral:rRNA from 1 species
CAGCAGCCGCGGGAAUACGAAGGGGGCUAGCGUUGUUCGGAUUUACUGGGCGUAAAGCGCACGUAGGCGGACAUUUAAGUCAGGGGUGAAAUCCCAGAGCUCAACUCUGGAACUGCCUUUGAUACUGGGUGUCUGGAGUAUGGAAGAGGUAAGUGGAAUUCCGAGUGUAGAGGUGAAAUUCGUAGAUAUUCGGAGGAACACCAGUGGCGAAGGCGGCUUACUGGUCCAUUACUGACGCUGAGGUGCGAAAGCGUGGGGAGCAAACAGGAUUAGAUACCCCUGUAGUCCCUGUCUCUUAUAC